UGUAUCAUUAUUGAAGUAGCCUAACCAUACUUGAAACCAUACUUAAUAGCUAGCCUAAAUUUAAAAGUGUAAUCUGCCAAUUAAGGGCUCGUUCACACAGAACGCGUUUUUGCUUUGUAAAACGCGAGACGCGGGCAGUGGAAUGGGGAAAAACGCAAGGUCUCGAGACGUGUUUUUUAAAAGUUGAACUGAUUUUAAGGAGCGCCGUGUAUUUAGAAUGCCAUGUCGUGCGUUAAACGCCGCACAAAACGCAAGCGCUACAGUUCCGUUCACAUAUUGCGUCUAAAAACGCGUAGAAAGCGCGGCCGCACCGCUUCUCCUCCUUUCCAAAGCGCCUGCGCUCUCGUGGCGUCUGUCAUUGCUAUGCAACCAUGAACUGCGCUCUGACAAGGAAGUUUCAGCAAAGGAUAAAUUGAUUUCUAGCCCUUGCAUUAGCUUUACUACUAGAUAUAUUUAUGGAGAUGAGAUAUAAAAACCACCCUGUACAGCUAUAGCUGUUAUAGCAUAUAUGAUCAGCUGUUCGUCUGAGCUUUCAAUGUUUUGUUAUGGAAAGGCCGAAGCUGUUCGUUGGUUCUUGUCAUGCGUUUGCGGCAUUCUGAAAAGUUGAGAAUUUCUCAUCUCGAUGCGCCUGGAAAACGCACUGCAUGCGCGUCGCUUCCAUUAUGAGCGCGCCUGCCGCACGGCUACAUUUGAAAUUACGAGCAAAAGACCGCUUUUAGAAAAACAAUGGAAAAGUAGCGCAUUGGAAUGGAAAAACGCGUUCUGUGUAAACGGCCCCUAUGGAUGUAGCAAACCAUUUCAACUUACCAUGGUCUUGGCUAAGCCUGAGAUAAAUCACCCGCCGGCGCCGGGGAUGAAACGUCCCCACCAUCUCCUCCAGUAACGUAUAAAUAAUAAAAAUAAAAAUGAGCAAUUCUGGCUCCAUUAUUGUAACUUCAUUAUUGUCCUUGCGCACCGUUGCUAGGCGACAUGAGCGGUUAUCGGGAACACCUGGUGCCGCAAUUAAAAAUCAUACGAAUUAAAAAUAAUUUGCAGCCUACCCAAAUACCUAGCGAAACACGUGUUAAAAGCCAGGGGUCUUUCUUAAAACACGUGAACUGAAAGUAAAAAUGUUAACCAUGCGCGGAUUCAUUUGUUAGGUGGUCUGAGGCAAAACUUCUUCUAAUAUUUCGGUUGUUUUUAGGGAGCGAGGAGCAGACCGCUGAGCCAGAGUAUUGUUCACCGGGGCCAAAAGCUCGGCCAGCGCGGCUUGGAGGAUUGCAAGUGUCCUGGGACAGGUGAGGGUGUGUCUGGGAAACCCACUGCUGAUCUUUGUCCUCAUGGAUGAGCUGUUAGGACAGAGGCCUUCCAACAACCCCCUUGUCCUAAUUGCCUCCAUCCUUGAGGAAACGCCAGGGCCAAAUUCAGCAGUGGGCAACCAAGAUGUGGAGCUAGCCCCAGCACCAGCCCCCGUACCAGCAUCAGCACCAGCCCCAGGCAAAAAAACCCAAAAGAGGCCGAGGAUGAGUUGGUGGCGCUGCUCCGUGAGGACAUCCAGUUCCAGAGGGAGAGAGAGGAAAGAAGAGCAGAUGAAAGCAAGGAGAGAAUGGAGAGACCGUUUUCUCUUGAGAGAAUGGUUAAGAAAAGUAUUUAUUAACCAUUCUCUCAAGAAUAGAAAAGUGGUAAAAAAGGGUAGCCUACAUCAAAAUCUUAUUUAUUUAUUUAUUUAUUUAUUUAUUUAUUUUUUUAAAUGUUACUUUCUCAAUGAAACAACUUUAAUUUCUUGUUUGUUUUUGUGAAGCAAGUUAAAAAUAAGUUGUGUUGGAUAUCUUUGGAAUGUAAUUUAUUUGUAAAAGAUCCUGAGUUAUUUCCGUACAUUUUGUAUUUAUGCAGGUUUACGUGUAAAUAAAAUAGAAUUGUUCUGUACUUUUUUUUUUUUUUUUUUUUUUUUUU